rnacentral:rRNA from 1 species
AGAUCGAACGCUGGCGGCAUGGCUAAAACAUGCAAGUCGAACGAGAUCCCCCCUUCGGGGGGGUGACAGUGGCGAAAGGGCGAGUAAUGCGUUUCUAACGUACCUUCAGGCCAGGGAUAGCGGCGGGAAACCGCCGGUAAUACCUGAUGACCCCGUAGAGUCGUAUGGCUCCGCGGGCAAAGGCUUGCCACCUGAAGCUCGGGAAACGUCCUAUCAGCUUGUUGGUGAGGUAACGGCUCACCAAGGCUUAGACGGGUAGCGGGUGUGAGAGCACGACCCGCGCAUCGGGACUGAGACACUGCCCGGACUCCUACGGGAGCUGCAGUAACGAAUAUUCCGCAAUGCGCGAAAGCGUGACGGAGCAAUGCCGCGUGCAGGAUGAAGCCCCGUCGGGGUGUAAACUGCUGUCAGGGUUUAGAACACAAUGACCAGACCCGAAAAGGAAGGGCCGGACUAACUCUGGUCGCCAGCCAAGCCCGAC